GUGGGGAAUAUUGGACAAUGGGCGCAAGCCUGAUCCAGCCAUACCGCGUGGGUGAAGAAGGCCUUCGGGUUGUAAAGCCCUUUUGUUGGGAAAGAAAUCCUGUCGGUUAAUACCUGGCGGGGAUGACGGUACCCAAAGAAUAAGCACCGGCUAACUUCGUGCCAGCAGCCGCGGUAAUACGAAGGGUGCAAGCGUUACUCGGAAUUACUGGGCGUAAAGCGUGCGUAGGUGGUGGUUUAAGUCCGUUGUGAAAGCCCGGGGCUCAACCUGGGAAUUGCAGUGGAUACUGGAUCACUAGAGUGUGGGAGAGUGAUGCGUACUUUCUGGUGUAGCAGUGAAAUGCGUAGAGAUCAGAAGGAACAUCCGUGGCGAAGGCGACAUCCUGGGCCAACACUGACACUGGGGCACGAAAGCGUGGGGAGCAAACAGGAUUAGAUACCCUAGUAGUCC
rnacentral:rRNA from 1 species